GACGAACGCUGGCGGCGUGCUUAACACAUGCAAGUCGAACGGAAAGGCCCUGCUUUUGUGGGGUGCUCGAGUGGCGAACGGGUGAGUAACACGUGAGUAACCUGCCCUUGACUUUGGGAUAACUUCAGGAAACUGGGGCUAAUACCGGAUAGGAGCUCCUGCUGCAUGGUGGGGGUUGGAAAGUUUCGGCGGUUGGGGAUGGACUCGCGGCUUAUCAGCUUGUUGGUGGGGUAGUGGCUUACCAAGGCUUUGACGGGUAGCCGGCCUGAGCGGGUGAGCGGCCACAUUGGGACUGAGAUACGGCCCAGACUCCUACGGGAGGCAGCAGUGGGGAAUAUUGCCCAAUGGGCGGAAGCCUGAUGCAGCAACGCCGCGUGCGGGAUGACGGCCUUCGGGUUGUAAACCGCUUUCGCCUGUGACGAAGCGUGAGUGACGGUAAUGGGUAAAGAAGCACCGGCUAACUACGUG
rnacentral:rRNA from 1 species